UACGUAGGGGGCGAGCGUUGUCCGGAGUUACUGGGCGGAAAGCGCACGCAGGCGGUCUGCUAAGUUUGGAGUGACAGUUGGUGGCUUAACUGCCAAAGUGCUUCGAAAACUGACAGACUUGAGGGCUUCAGAGGGACACGGAAUUCCGGGUGGAGUGGUGAAAUGCGUAGAGAUCCGGAGGAAUACCAAAGGCGAAGGCAGUGUCCUGGCUGGCAUCUGACGCUGAGGCGCGAAAGCUAGGGGAGCGAACAGG
rnacentral:rRNA from 1 species